rnacentral:rRNA from 1 species
GAUGAACGCUGGCGGCGUGCCUAAUACAUGCAAGUCGAGCGAACAGACGAGGAGCUUGCUCCUCUGACGUUAGCGGCGGACGGGAGAGUAACACGUGGAUAACCUACCUAUAAGACUGGGAUAACUUCGGGAAACCGGAGCUAAUACCGGAUAAUAUAUUGAACCGCAUGGUUCAAUAGUGAAAGACGGUUUUGCUGUCACUUAUAGAUGGAUCCGCGCCGCAUUAGCUAGUUGGUAAGGUAAAGGCUUACCAAGGCAACGAUGCGUAGCCGACCUGAGAGGGUGAUCGCCCACACGGGAACUGGACCGCGGUCCAGGCUCCUACGGGAGGCAGCAGUAGGGAAUCGGCCGCAAUGGGCGAAAGCCUGACGGAGCAACGCCGCGUGAGUGACGAAGGUCUUCGGAUCGUAAAACUCUGUUAUUAGUGAAGAACAAAUGUGGAAGGAACUAUGCACGUAGUGACGGUACCGAAUCAGAAAGCCCCGGCUAACUACGUG